UGGGGAAUAUUGCGCAAUGGGCGAAAGCCUGACGCAGCGACGCCGCGUGGGUGAUGAAGGCCUUCGGGUCGUAAAGCCCUGUCGGGAGGGACGAAACCUCGGUGACCUAAUACGUCACCGACCUGACGGUACCUCUUAAGGAAGCACCGGCUAACUCCGUGCCAGCAGCCGCGGUAAUACGGAGGGUGCGAGCGUUACCCGGAUUUACUGGGUGUAAAGGGCGUGUAGGCGGUUUCUCAAGUCCGAUGCUAAAGACCGAAGCUCAACUUCGGGAGUGCGUUGGAUACUGUGAGGCUAGACGGUCGGAGAGGGUAGCGGAAUUUCCUGAGUAGCGGUGAAAUGCGCAGAUACAGGAAGGAACGCCAAUAGCGAAAGCAGCUACCUGGACGAUUUGUGACGCUGAGGCGCGAAAGCGUGGGGAGCAAACC
rnacentral:rRNA from 1 species